UCGACCGCCUGGGGAGUACGGCCGCAAGGUUAAAACUCAAAUGAAUUGACGGGGGCCCGCACAAGCGGUGGAGCAUGUGGUUUAAUUCGAUGCAACGCGAAGAACCUUACCUGGUCUUGACAUCCACGGAAGUUUUCAGAGAUGAGAAUGUGCCUUCGGGAACCGUGAGACAGGUGCUGCAUGGCUGUCGUCAGCUCGUGUUGUGAAAUGUUGGGUUAAGUCCCGCAACGAGCGCAACCCUUAUCCUUUGUUGCCAGCGGUC
rnacentral:rRNA from 1 species